GACGAACGCUGGCGGCGUGCUUAACACAUGCAAGUCGAACGGAAAGGCCCUGCUUUUGUGGGGUGCUCGAGUGGCGAACGGGUGAGUAACACGUGAGUAACCUGCCCUUGACUUUGGGAUAACUUCAGGAAACUGGGGCUAAUACCGGAUAGGAGCUCCUGCUGCAUGGUGGGGGUUGGAAAGUUUCGGCGGUUGGGGAUGGACUCGCGGCUUAUCAGCUUGUUGGUGGGGUAGUGGCUUACCAAGGCUUGGACGGGUAGCCGGCCUGGGAGGGUGACCGGCCACAUUGGGACUGAGAUACGGCCCAGACUCCUACGGUAGGCAGAGGUGGGGAAUAUUGCACAAUGGGCGGAAGCCUGAUGCAGCAACGCCGCGUGCGGGAUGACGGCCUUCGGGUUGUAAACCGCUUUCGCCUGUGACGAAGCGUGAGUGACGGUAAUGGGUAAAGAAGCACCGGCUAACUACGUG
rnacentral:rRNA from 1 species